GAUGAACGCUGGCGGCGUGCCUAAUACAUGCAAGUCGAGCGAACAGACGAGGAGCUUGCUCCUCUGACGUUAGCGGCGGACGGGUGAGUAACACGUGGAUAACCUACCUAUAAGACUGGGAUAACUUCGGGAAACCGGAGCUAAUACCGGAUAAUAUAUUGAACCGCAUGGUUCAAUAGUGAAAGACGGUUUUGCUGUCACUUAUAGAUGGAUCCGCGCCGCAUUAGCUAGUUGGUAAGGUAACGGCUUACCAAGGCAACGAUGCGUAGCCGACCUGGGAGGGUGAUCGGCCACACUGGAACUGGGACACGGUCCAGACUCCUACGGGAGGCAGCAGUAGGGAAUCUUCCGCAAUGGGCGAAAGCCUGACGGAGCAACGCCGCGUGAGUGAUGAAGGUCUUCGGAUCGUAAAACUCUGUUAUUAGGGAAGAACAAAUGUGUAAGUAACUAUGCACGUCUUGACGGUACCUAAUCAGAAAGCCACGGCUAACUACGUG
rnacentral:rRNA from 1 species